rnacentral:lncRNA from 9 species
GUUCCCCUUCCUCGUGUUCUGAGAGAUACCCUCCAAUUGCUCCUGGCUAAUACGGCAGUUUCUUGGGCUCCGUCUGCAUCCCGUCUGCACGUCGUUGCCUUGUAUUCGGCAUGGACGUCCAUCUCCCUCACCAGCCCUGAGCUCCCUGGGGACAGAAGCCAGGUCGCACUCACGCUGCCACAGACCUUCCUCUGCAGGCCCGGCCACGCCAUCCAGAAACAUGGAGCCUUUCCCACCAGAGCUUCAGCGCACAGCCCAGCUGCUCAUGUUUCCGAUGGCGCUUUUGGUCACGGCAGCUGGAAAAACACCACCCAGGGCACCUAUCCAGCUGACAUACGUUCUGGACUGUCAAAAUGGACGGAAAAUGUAUUUCAACAAGCAUUUUCCACAUGGAGGAGAGCUGAGGGAAGACAUGGCACAGGGCUUCAAAGACAUCCCUCCUGUCCCUUUAAGAUGGUGCUGGCUACCUCGUCCAGCAACCCCUGCCAUCCACGCUCACCUCCAGAUCAGCUUCUGAUCACAACCAUCCACCUCCCAACUCCCAGCAUGCUCUGGUGCGAGAGGCUACCACCUUCACCGCCUGUCAGAUGCAGAAGAAGGCAUCAAGGCUCUUCAAGCAUCCGGACUGCAGUGCUGCUUUUCUCACAUCAUCACUGCUAAAGAACUGCCUCUUGGAGUUCCCUGGUGGCUCAGCAGGUUAAGGAUCCAGCAUUGCCACUUCUGUGGCACAGGUUCAAUCCCUGGGCUACGAACUUCCGCAUGCAGAGGCCAAAAAAAGGAGAGAAGAGAGAAAUGGCUCUAAAGCCACCAAAGAAGAAAAGAAACCUGGCUUACGGACUGUGAUGUCCAAUAAAUACAAUCUUAUGGUGUUGGGGUCACCAAAUGAAUCCAUUCCCCAAUACUAUUCAGUCAACCAACACUGGUGGGAGCCAGCGCCAUUUCAGAUCAUGAGCAACAACGAUGAGAAGACCCAACCCUCUGAUGGCUGCUCAAGGCAGCGAGGUUAAUGCAAACACCAAAAGACGGACGGGGCAGCCCAGCGGUCUGCGUCCUGAGCGCAGUUUAUGCGCAUCCGUUUAAGCAAGCCCGGGAUACCCUCCUCAAUUCACUAACCGGCAGUCCUCUGUAAUGAGACAGGGAGACCCGCAACGCACGGGACACACUGCCCCUGAUGCUCUCAGGGUGGAAAGAGUGGCUCAACUUAAACGGAGGUUAUACUUCUUUUUAAACCAGAAAACCAAAAGCUGCUGACCUCUUCUACAAUAAGAGAAUGACAAUUAAUGACUAUUUUUCCAACAAAUAAAUAAUUAAUCUGUCCCUUUCGGGUUAAGGUGACAAUUUUAAAAAUGGGUAAGAAAGCCUCUACUUUUUGAGAGACUUAUGUCACAGAAAGAGCAUUUCAAACACCAGCGUUGGGAAAUCAUUUUCACCAUAUGACAGGAUGACGUUACCCAAUUCAACAGGAAGAUGCAGUCUCGAAACCCUUCUACCUACGUACACACGGAAAGCCGCACAUCCAAGCUUGUUUUUAAAUCUCUCAGUGGAGUACAGGGCAGGGUUUCAGGGGUCUAAAAUCCAUUUAAAUGAUCAGCUGACCCCAGGAUAACAUCUUCCUAGAAAGGACUCUUUCAAAAUACAGUGACUUGGACCAGACCUUCCAACCACCAUGUUGCAAAAUAUGACACCAAGAUAUUCUGCAACCACAAAGUGUAUUCAACUGCAUGCUUCUUACUAAGAAUCAUCCUUAUUAAUGCAUUUCAUCUAAUUCCUCAACAUCUAUCCAUCUCUCUCUCCUACAUGCCAGGCACUGUUCCAUGCUCCGGAAAUAGGGCAGGGAACGAAACGGACAAAGCCCCGGCGGCGCUCACGGAGCUCACAUUCCAUCCAGUGGGGGGAGAUGGACAACACAGGAAGUGAGAGAGCUCUAGAGCAUGCGAAGUGCUGACAGGACGAAGACAGGGCAGGGAAGAGACGCAGGAAAUGCAACCAAGUGCGCAGGGGGGGUGGGGCACUGGGAAGGUAGCACUUGAGAGUCUGGUCAGGGCCAGCUGGGAAACGCAGUCCAAGCGGAGGGAACAGGAGGUGUGAAGACUCUGAUACAGGAACUGCCUAGUUUACUUGAGGAACAGCAAGGAAACCAGAGCAAAGUGGAAGAAGGGAAGGACACAGAGGCCCCCGGGGGCCACAGAAUCCACAGGCCUGCCGUUCAUUUCAACACGGCGGCCACCAGGCACACGAGGCCAUGGAGCCCAUGAAACGUGGCCGAUCCAAACUGGGCUGUGCUACGGGGGUGACUCACUACCAAAACCCCACGGAAUAUACGUCAGAAAUGAAGAUAAUUCUGACGUCCUGGGUUCAGGUAAUAAAAUUAAUUGCACGUAUUUCCUUUUCCCUUUAAAUUUAGCAGAAAAAUGUUGAACUGCAUACAUGGUACCCCUGUGUGACUCUUCGUGUUUCUACUGGACAGCGUUGAUAAGCUCCAGGGUCCUGGGGUCACUCCGAGGACCCCAGCUUUCAUGGAGAGUGGAAAGAAGCCGCAGCAGGGUUCUGAGCAUGGCAGGCAGGAAGUGACGUAUGUCUCAUGGGAUCCUCUGGCUACUGUGAGGACGAGAGCCUGUAAGGGGCACAGGAAUAGCAGGUGAAAGGUGAGGGUGCCUUGGACCAGGGUGACGGCCGUGGAAGCAGUUCUGCUGGUCAUACUCUACACAUAUUUUGCAGGUAGUCAACAAGCUUUGCUGAUGGACUGGGUGAAGGACAUAAGACAGAGAAGUGAAGCAUGGCCAUACGUGGUUUGGAUGAGCAAUGGGAAGACGGCACUCCCAUCACCAAGACGGGAGGCUGCGGGAAGAAGCUAUCUGUGAGGAAAAAUCAGGACUUCAGUUUGGGGCAUGAGAAGUAUGAAAUAUCUAUUAAUCCAGUUGAAACGUCAGGUAGGCUGAUGGACACACACAGGACUGUACUUCAGAUGAGAGGCUGGGCUUGAGACAGAUACCUGGGAGUCAUCAGUAUAUAGAUUUUUUUUUUUUUUUAGCUUUUCAUUAUGGAAAAUUUCAAACAUACACAAAACUAGAGAAAAUAGUACAAUACCCCACCCCCGGGUACCCAACACCCAGCUUCAACCAUUAUCAACUCAUGGUCAAUGUUUAUCUCUUGGGAUUACUCUGAAGCAAAUUCUACUUUUUUUUUUUUUUGUCUAUUUGCCUUUUCUAAGGUUCUCCCCUCGGCAUAUGGAGGUUCCCAGGCUAAGGGUCUAAUCAGAGCUGUAGCCGCCGGCCUACUCCAGAGCCAUAGCAACGGGGGAUCUGAGCCAUGUCUGCGACCUACACCACAGCUCACGGCAACACCGCAUCCUUAACCCACUGAGUGAGGCCAGGGAUCGAACCCGAAACCUCAUGGUUCCUAGUUGGAUUCGUUAACCACUGACCCACGACGGGAACUCCUGAAGCAACUUCUAGACGCAUCCACAGGGAUGGCAUUUAAGCCUGGAGCACGGAGAGGAUUGCAAAGAGAAAGAGAAGAUGCAGAGGCCGUCCAACUUCAGACGUCAGAGAGAUGAGACAAUGAGAAGGGAGAGGCCACGAGACGGGGGGGGGGGGACCAGAAAUACACACCCAGAGAAGGCAGCACUUCAAGGAAACGGGCAUAACCCGCUGUGCCAAAUACUGUGAAGCUGCUAUGAUGGGGACCCAGAAGAGGCCACAAGAUUGAGUCGCAAGGAAGUCACUGCUGCCCUUGUCGAGAGCACUUUCAUCUGGAGUGGCUGGAGACAAGCUGCAUGGAGGCACCUGAAAGAGGAAGUGAAGGGAGCAAGGACCGGAAAUGCACUGGGGCAGAGACAUGGGCAGUAGCUUUUCUUUUCUUUGACCUUUUAGGGCUGCAUCUGCGGCAUAUGGAGGUUCCCAGGCUAGGGGCCUAACUGGAGCUGUAGCCGCCGGCCUACACCACAGCCACAGCAACGUGGGAUCCAAGCCGCAUCUGCCACCUACACCACAGCUCACGGCAACGCCGGAUCCUUAACCCACUGAGCGAGGCCAGGGAUCGAACCCACAUCCUCAUGGAUCCUCGUCGUCAUUGGGCUCAUUACCACGGAGCCAUAAAGGGAACUCCAAAGAAGGCUUUUCUUAAGAUGAGAAGAACAGCAGCACGUGGACAUGAUCCAUAGAAAGAGAGAGAGAGGGCGGUGCGAGGGCAACAGCCCGAAUACAUCUCGGGGC